UCCGCAUUGGUGUAACGGUCAACAUCGCCGGUUUUCAGUUAAGAAAGCCUCUACCCGGCAGCUCGGGGUUCGAUUCCCCGAUGCGGAA